rnacentral:rRNA from 1 species
GACGUAGGUGGCGAACGUUAUCCGGAAUUAUUGGGCGUAAAGGAUGCGUAGAUGGUGUAGUAAGUUAUCGGUGGCAAAUCGAGGCUCAACCUCGUGGAAGUCGGUAAUACUGCUAUGCUAGAGGAUAGGAGAGGUUAACGGAACUCCCUGUGGAGCGGUGAAAUGCGCAGAUGUCAGGAGGAACACCGGUGGCGAAGGCGGGUCUCUGGGCCGAUACUGACGCUGAGGAGCGAAAGCGUGGGGAGCGAACAGG